CCAGAGAACUUUCCAGAGAUGGAUUGGUGCCUUCGGGAACUCUGAGACAGGUGCUGCAUGGCUGUCGUCAGCUCGUGUUGUGAAAUGUUGGGUUAAGUCCCGCAACGAGCGCAACCCUUUAUCCUUUGUUGCCAGCGGUUAGGCCGGGAACUCAAAGGAGACUGCCAGUGAUAAACUGGAGGAAGGUGGGGAUGACGUCAAGUCAUCAUGGCCCUUACGAGUAGGGCUACACACGUGCUACAAUGGCGCAUACAAAGAGAAAGCGACCUCGCGAGAGCAAGCGGACCUCAUAAAGUGCGUCGUAGUCCGGAUUGGAGUCUGCAACUCGACUCCAUGAAGUCGGAAUCGCUAGUAAUCGUGGAUCAGAAUGCCACGGUGAAUACGUUCCCGGGCCUUGUACACACCGCCCGUCACACCAUGGGAGUGGGUUGCAAAAGAAGUAGGUAGCUUAACCUUCGGGAGGGCGCUUACCACUUUGUGAUUCAUGACUGGGGUGAAGUCGUAACAAGGUAAGCGUAGUGCU
rnacentral:rRNA from 1 species